GACGAAGGGGGCUAGCGUUGUUCGGAAUUACUGGGCGUAAAGCGCGUGUAGGCGGUUGUCCAAGUUGGAUGUGAAAGCCUUGAGCUUAACUCAAGAAAUGCAUUCAGGACUGGAUGACUAGAGGACCGGAGAGGAUAGUGGAAUUCCAGUGUAGUGGUGAAAUACGUAGAGAUUGGGAAGAACACCGAGUGGCGAAGGCGGACUAUCUGG
rnacentral:rRNA from 1 species